rnacentral:tRNA from 1 species
UGGUCCGUAGCUUAACGGCAGAGUAGCCGGCUUUUAACCGGCGGGUUGUGCGUUCGAAUCGCACCGGACCAACUA